rnacentral:rRNA from 1 species
UGGGGAAUCUUGCGCAAUGGGCGAAAGCCUGACGCAGCGACGCCGCGUGUGGGAUGAAGGUCUUCGGAUUGUAAACCACUGUCGGGAGGGACGAAGCUCUGACGGUACCUCCAAAGGAAGCACCGGCUAACUCUGUGCCAGCAGCCGCGGUAAUACAGAGGGUGCGAGCGUUGUCCGGAAUCACUGGGCGUAAAGGGCGCGUAGGCGGCCUGGUAAGUAGGGGGUGAAAUCUCAUGGCUCAACUGUGAGGCUGCCUUCUAGACUGCUGGGCUUGAGCACGGUAGAGGCUGGUGGAAUUCCCGGUGUAGCGGUGGAAUGCGUAGAGAUCGGGAGGAACAUCGGUGGCGAAGGCGGCCAGCUGGGCCGUUGCUGACGCUGAGGCGCGAAAGCGUGGGGAGCAAACAGGAUUAGAUACCCUCGUAGUCCCUGAGCGGGCUGGCAAGGCGCAU